rnacentral:rRNA from 1 species
GACGAACGCUGGCGGCGUGCUUAACACAUGCAAGUCGAACGGAAAGGCCUGUCCUUCCUUGUGUUGGACGGGUACUCGAGUGGCGAACGGGUGAGUAACACGUGAGUGAUCUGCCCCCAACUUGGGUAUAAGCCUGGGAAACUGGGUCUAAUUCCCGAUAGUACUGCAGGGUGGCGCCUGUGGUGGAAAACGAUUUUCUAGUGGUUGGGGAUGAGCUCGCGGCCUAUCAGCUUGUUGGUGGGGUAAUGGCCUACCAAGGCGGCGACGGGUAGCCGGCCUGAGAGGGUGGACGGCCACAUUGGGACUGAGAUACGGCCCAGAGUCCUACGGGAGGCAGCAGUGGGGAAUAUUGGACAAUGGGGGGAAGCCUGAUGCAGCGACGCCGCGUGGGGGAUGACGGCCUUCGGGUUGUAAACUCCUUUCGACCGCGAGGAAGCCGCCUGGUUGGAAGGGUGGUGACGGUAGUGGUAGAAGAAGCACCGGCUAACUACGUG